rfam:Schistosoma rodhaini strain Burundi genome assembly, scaffold: SROB_scaffold0000574
AUCCAGCUGACGAGUCCCAAAUAGGACAAAGAAACGCACGUCCUGGAU